rnacentral:rRNA from 1 species
UACGGGGAGGAUGCAGCUGUUGUCGAAUUAUUGGGCGUAAAGCGCGUGUAGGCGGCUUGGCAAGUCGGGUGUGAAAGCCCUCAGCUCAACUGAGGAAGUGCGCCCGAAACUGCUGAGCUUGAGUGUCGGAGAGGGUGGCGGAAUUCCCCAAGUAGAGGUGAAAUUCGUAGAUAUGGGGAGGAACACCGGUGGCGAAGGCGGCCACCUGGACGACUACUGACGCUGAGACGCGAAAGCGUGGGGGAGCAAACAGG